AAUAAGCAUUUAAAACCGGUUUUGUUCUCUAUACCCCUAAAUGCAGCGAUAAAAGGCAAAGAUCGAUGUCAAAGAGCACGAGCAGGAGGAGGUCGUGGGGUGUGUGACAGCUGGGCGGAGAGACUGAAACUCCGGAGGCAGCACGCGCGCUGGGGCGGGCAGAUGUGAGGCUGAAUCGGCGCUCGGUGCUGUUUUUGUAACCGAGGGGAGAGAGACCGAGAGGAGGGGGGAAAUCUAAAGGGAGCCCGAGCCGCCGGUUCCGUUGCAGCGCGAGAAAUUUUGGGUGAAGGAUGCAGCGGAACCGGAGAAUUCCUCUGAUGCACGCGCGCUGCCUCCUCUUGUGUGUGAUGAGCGCGUGCUGGACGGCGCUGGAGGUGCGGGGGUCCCAACCGGAGAUCCCCUUAUCAGUGGUGAAACUCUGGGCUUCAGCAUUUGGUGGUGAAAUAAAAUCAAUAGCUUC